rnacentral:lncRNA from 1 species
GUUGGAGGCGUUGACGAGCCCACUCUAAAUUUACUCUAAAUCUCACAAACUUUUAAAAGAAGAAAUUUGUUCUCUUAGAAAACUCAAUAACACACAAAAGAAGAAUGUUGUUCUCUUGAAACUCACUUACUUUCUAAAACUCAAUUUGCUUCUAUUGAUUUGAUUCUUUUAUCUUGUAUACAAAUGAAGGAAAUGAUCUCUAUAUAUAGUAUUCAAGAGACACUUCCUAAAAGACACAAAAUAAAUGAAGUACAUGAAUACAUACCAUUCAUGUACUUGAAUAAUUACAUGUAUCUAGAAAUGCAUAUGUAUCUUGAAACUAGAAAUGUAUCUAUUAAUGUGUUAUCCAUAAUGUAUCUAGCUUAUUAAUUUCUAACAUGCCCCCUUAAGCUAGACUUCCCAAACUCCGAGCUUCUCUUUCAUUUUCAAGAAUGAAUCUGUCUUUAAUGCUUUUGUGAAUACGUCUGCAACUUGAUCUUGAGUCUUGCAAUACCUGAUAUAUACUUCUCCAUCUUUGAUCAAUUCUCUGAUGAAAUGAUAUUUGAUGUUUAUGUGUUUGCUUCUUCCAUGAAAAACGGGAUUCUUCGAAAGUGAAAUAGAUGAUUGAUUGUCACAGAACAUGAUGGUCCCUUUCUCUUGAGGACACUUCAAUUCAUGUAGUACAUUUCUUAGCCAAAGUGCUUGACAACUAGCAACAGACAAAGAAAUGUAUUCAGCUUCUGUUGUGGACAAUGCUACAACAUCUUGCUUCUUUGAUGCCCAUGAAACUGCUCCAGAACCAAUAUUAAAUACAUACCCAGAAGUACUUUUGAAAUCAUCAAUAUUUCCUCCCCAAUCACUAUCACUGUAGCCAACAAGAACAUUAUCCACAUUCCUUUUAUAGUGGAUUCCAUGAUCAACAGUUCCAAGAAUGUAUCUAAGAACUCUCUUUCCAGCUUCCCAAUGACUUCUCUUUGGUGAUGUCAUAAAUCUACUCAAUAAACUGACCGAGAACAUAAUAUCAGGUCUAGUUGUAGUUAAAUACAUUAAACUUCCAACCAAACUUCUAUAAAUGGUGGCAUCAAAAGCUUCACUAACAUCAUGCUUACUUAACUUUAAACCCAAUUCCAUAGGAGUACUGGCAGGAUAAGCAUUCUCCAUUUUGAACUUUUUCAACAAAUCUUUUGCAUACUUCUUUUGGAAAAUUGCAAUCUCAUUAUCACCUUGUUUAACUUCAAUACCAAGAAAAUAAUGAAGUAAACCCAUAUCAGUCAUCUCAAAUUCCUUUUUCAUGCUCUCUUUGAAUUCUUCAAUCAUCAUAUUUGAGUUGCCCGUAAAUAUUAAAUCAUCAACAUAUAGACAAAUUAUCAAGAAAUUACCAUUUUCAUCUUCUUUGGUGUAGAGAGCAUGUUCAUAUGGACAUCUUCUAGACAUCUUCUGAAACCAUCCUUUAAGAAAAAAUUGUCGAUGCGACUGUACCAAGCCCUUGGUGCUUGCUUUAGCCCAUACAAGGCUUUCUUUAAUCGACACACCUUAUUUUCUUCUCCAAUCUUUGCAUAACCGGGGGGUUGCUCAACAUAUAUUUCAUCCUCUAAAUACCCAUUUAGGAAUGCUGACUUUACAUCCAUUUGAUGAACUUUCCAGUUAUUUUUUGCUGCAAGGGCUAACAACAAACGAACAGUCUCCAAGCGGGUUACUGGUGCAAAAACUUCUUCAUAAUCCACACCAAACUUUUGUUUGUAUUUUUGCACUUCUCCGUUUUGCUUUAGCUUUGUUCUAUAGAUCCAUUUGACUCCAAGAGCCUUUUUAUUUUCUGGUAAUUUUACUAACUCCCAUGUCUCGUUUCUUCUUAUUGCAUCAAUCUCUUGAUUCAUUGCAUCUUUCCAAUUUUCAUCUUGAAUUGCUUCUUCAAAGUAUACAGGAUCAACAUUUGCAAAUAAAGCAAAAUCAACAUGUUCUUCAUCUAGUAUCCUUCUUGAAGUAUUAUAGAUCUCUUGAAUAUUUCUGGUCUUCCUUGGAGUAGUUUCUUCAUCACUUGUGGAGUGUGAUGAAGAAGGUGAAGUCAGUGGUUGAGUUACUUCAAGCUCCAAGUCUCGAGCAUCUUUUUUUCCAUCCAUAUCAACAUGUAAUGGAUUUUGGUCUUCAUUUGGUGCAUUCCAUUGCCACAAUUUUGCUUCAUCGAACUUGACAUCUCGACUAAUAAUAACUUUCUUACUUAUCGGAUUGUAUAGUCUGUAGGCCUUAGAGUUCUCACUGUACCCAACAAAAAUGCAUUUCUCUGAUUUAUCAUCUAGCUUACCUCUUUUCUCAUCUGAAAUGUGAGAGUAAGCAAUGCACCCAAACACUCUUAGGUGACUAACGGUUGGUUUCAAUCCGCUCCAUGCUUCUUGAGGAGUAAUACCUUGCACACUUUUCGUUGAAGCUCUAUUUAGGAGAUAAACAGCACAAGUUACUGCGUCUCCCCAAAAUUGAUCAGGAAGCUUCUUUGCCUUCAACAUACUUCUUGCAAGUUCCAUUAUUAUUCUAUUUUUCCUCUCUGCAACUCCGUUUUGUUGAGGAGUUCUUCGAACAGUCUUCUGAUGCUUGAUUCCAUUUUCCUUCAAGAAAUCUGCAAAAACAAUAUAUUCUCCUCCACGAUCCGAACGCAAUGAUUUCAAUUUCAAGUUACUUUCAUUUUCCACCAUUGCUUUGAAUGUCUUGAAACAUUCGAAAGUAGCACUCUUUUCUUUUAGUAGAUAAAUCCAUGUUUUUCGACUGUAGUCAUCAAUAAAUGUGAGAAAAUAACGGUUACCUCCAUGUGUAGUAGUUCUCAUAGGUCCACAUAAGUCUGUAUGAACAAGCUCGAGUGGUUUUGAUGCUCUCCAAGAACCUCCAGUCGGAAAUGAAUUUCGAUGAUGCUUUCCGAAAACACAUGCUUCACAGAGUUGAUCUUCCUUUUUAAUAUUUGACAUUCCUCUCACCAUAUGUUGUUGACACAUGUGAGACAAAGUGUCAAAACUUAGGUGCCCAAAUCGACAAUGCCAUAACCAUGAGGUGUCAUUUACUAAAGUCUCAAAACAAACAAGCUUCUCAUAACAUAUUUUAAUUGGAAACAUUUUGUUGUGAGUCAUACGAACCUUCGUUAUGAGAUCUCCAUUCUUGGUUCUAAUCUCACAUAUGUUAUCUUUAAAAAUAACAUCAUGUCCUCUUAGGAGAAGUUGUCCAACACUUAAAAGAUUGUGUUUGAGACCUGAAACAUAAUACACAUCAGUAAUUUUUUUUCCCAUUUUUGUCUUGACAAGAAUAUCUCCUUUUCCUUUGACUUCAAGCAUCUUGUUGUCACCAGUCUUCACUACAUUUUGAUGAGAUUCAUCUAAAGAUAUAAAAAUAUCCUUUCUUCCUGUCAUGUGGUUACUACAACCACUAUCAAGAUACCAUAUUUCUUCAGUGCUUGAUUCUUGAACAUUGAGAGUGAGGAAGAGAAGACCUUGAUCAUUAUUUGAUUGCUCAUGCAUUAGUGUGGUUUCUGCUUGAUUAGAAUUAGUCUUCUUAGACCAACAGUCUGCUUGAAAAUGUCCAUAACGUCUACAAUUGAAACAUUGUAUGUGAGAAAAAUCUCCACGACCACCACUUCUACCUCUUCCUCUAUUUGAACUUCUUCCUCGUCCUCUAUUUGAAAAAAAUUGAUUGUCUCUGCUUUCUGACUCUGUAUUUGUUACAACGUUGGAUCGUCCAUUGCCUCUACCACCACGUCCACCUCUUCUUCCAUUGGAUCGACCUCUAUAGGAGGACUGCAUAUGAAAAGCUUCUUCUGAAGGAUUAGAAUCAAACAUCUUCAAUCUGAGCUCAUGAGAUUGAAGAGAUCCCAUUAAGCUAUUUAUAGAGAGAGUUGACAAAUCUUUGGAUUCUUCAAUUGCUACAACAAUAUGCUCAUAUCUUCUAGUCAUGCUUCUAAGAAUCUUCUCAACAAUCCUUUGAUCUUCAAUUGUUUCUCCAUUUGAUCUCAAUCGAUUAACAAUUAAGAGAACACGGUUGAAAAAUUCUUCAAUAGUUUCAUAAUCUUUCAUUCGAAUUGUAUCAAAUUCAGCUCGAAGUGUUUGUAAUCGGACCAAUUUUACCUUUUCUUCUCCUUCAUACAAAUUUUGCAAUGCAUCCCAUGCUGCUUUAGCAGUAGAGACUCCUGAUAUUCUUUCAAAAAUAUUUUCAUCCACAGAUUGGUAGAUGAAAAAUAAUGCCUUCUUAUCCUUUUUUUCUAGCAUCUCUCAACUCAUUGAGUUGUUGUGCUGAAAGACCAUUCUCACUUUCUGGCUCUGAAUAUCCGACGUCAACAAUAUCCCAAAGAUCUUGAGAUCCAUAAAGAGCCUUCAUUUGCUGACUCCACUGCCUAUAGUUUUUUCCCUCAAAACGAGGAAGUUGAGGAUGCAACAUGUUAGAUGACAUCUUUCAAUCCUUGCUCUGAUACCACUUUGUUGAAGGCGUUGACGAGCCCACUCUAAAUUUACUCUAAAUCUCACAAACUUUUAAGAGAAGAAAUUUGUUCUCUUAGAAAACUCAAUAACACACAAGAGAAGAAUGUUGUUCUCUUGAAACUCACUUACUUUCUAAAACUCAAUUUGCUUCUACUGAUUUGAUUCUUUUAUCUUGUAUACAAAUGAAGGAAAUGAUCUCUAUAUAUAGUAUUCAAGAGACACUUCCUAAAAGACACAAAAUAAAUGAAGUACAUGAAUACAUACCAUUCAUGUACUUGAAUAAUUACAUGUAUCUAGAAAUGCAUAUGUAUCUUGAAACUAGAAAUGUAUCUAUUAAUGUGUUAUCCAUAAUGUAUCUAGCUUAUUAAUUUCUAACA